AGGGGCAGCGGGGUUGAAGCUUGCUUCAACCGCCGGCGACCGGCGCACGGGUGAGUAACGCGUAUGCAACCUGCCUGAUACCGGGGUAUAGCCCAUGGAAACGUGGAUUAACACCCCAUAGUACUUUUAUCCUGCAUGGGAUGUGAGUUAAAUGUUCAAGGUAUCGGAUGGGCAUGCGUCCUAUUAGUUAGUUGGCGGGGUAACAGCCCACCAAGACGAUGAUGGAUAGGGGUUCUGAGAGGAAGGUCCCCACAUUGGAACUGAGACACGGUCCAAACUCC
rnacentral:rRNA from 1 species